rnacentral:lncRNA from 1 species
AUUGCCUUCCUAAGAUACAAGUACAGUGAUGGUGGUGAUUAGCUAAGCAGCUCAUCUAGUUCGCUUCGAUUUAUUAUAUAAUUUGAGAAAGUACACAGUCUUCGAGCUAGAGCUUAUCUGGUCCUACGACUAUUAUUACGAUAUUCUUCUCCUAGGUGCGGCAGCUGUUCAUCAGAUCUGUCUCUCCACAAGCAUCACUAACGUGGCGUUCAACGGAAUUUGUUGCGAAUUACGCAAAAAAAUUACAAUGGGAACGUCCUAUCUUUUUCAAUGUAUUAAGCAAACAACACCUGACUCCCGAUAUGAAAUAGACAUGCCCGGAUUCGGACCUAAACCGCCACGUGUCCCUGACAUUAGCAGGCAAACGCGAUCAUGAGAACAACGUGGAACCUAAGCAACGGCAAAGGUAGUCGCUAGCAGUUUCAUCUGAACGAUUCAAUGGCUUUUAAGAUCAACUCAUCGCUUGCGGAACACUUCUUGGUGGAUAAGACUUGGUCAUCCGAUCUCUCGAUGACUUAAUAUAUAUUAAUAAUGCUGAUAAGGCGUAAAUGAUCGCUUGAAUUGUUAUUAUUCCUGUAGUUGUUAAAAGAGGCAACUCAAAAAGGAAGUCUGGUUUUUGGGGUAGCACGUCUAGUAGUUGCUAGUGUUUAAUUUAAACGCAUUUGUAACAGUGAAAUUGCAUUAUUGGCCGUCAUCGUUGCAUGAUAUAUUACAAAAAAGAAAAGAAAACCAUUGGCGAUAGUGGUACAAUGCGUUAUUUACAAGGGUUGUUUACAGGCAAUUAUCCACAGCUUACAACUGUGGAUAAUUGCUUGUAAACAAAAAUGUUUCAACCCAAUGGAGGAUCGUAGAAAAAGUGAUUAAAAGAAAUAUCGACGUGUAGACGACAGUGUAAUUGUUUUUACCAGAUUUUAUGAACACUAAAGCCCCUUACUGAUGAUAUGCAAAGAAAGCUGAAGAUCUUGGUGCAGAAUAAAUGUUACUCAUGGUAGUAAAGUUUUACCUUGAUUUAACUCUAACAAAAACGAUGACUUGUACCACCCAGCAAUAUAUAAGGAUAAAAAAAAAUAUCACAUUUUUAUAUUUACAGCAAGCAUUUAGCCAAAGUUGCUUUGCCGAAAUGCUCGAUAUCUCCUUCGCUGUAGUCUGCGAGGGCAAUCGAUCAAACUUAUAAAAGAGUGGAAAUGAUAUUGUUCGACAUUUUGGUACUCUUGUUUUGCAACUGACAAAAUAAAAACAAUUUUGACUCUUUUUUUUUAUUCGAUUGUUUUUGUUAUCGUAGUUAAAAAACGAAUUGAUUAUUACGGAUAUAUUACAGCUGUAUACUAAAUAGUGUUGCUUUACUGCCAAAUAUUUAUAUACUAUUUGUAUAUCUAUCGAAGUAUUCAGUGGCGGAAAAAUAUAAACGAUUUUUUAGGUGCUUUCGAAUUUCAGACAAUAUGAGUCAGUGCUGGUACCAUAAAAGCCGAGACUUGGCACUAGUAGAUAUUCUUUAAUUGUUGGAAAGGCUUUAUAAAUGCCUUAAAAGUAAAUGAAACAUUCGCUAUAAUUUAAAUUUUAUUACGAUAAACGAACAAAUGCUGCUCAGGCUCAUAUGGAAACGCCAACAUGCGUUGUCGAAAAAGAAACGGUCCAGAGAUGGUUCUGUCGCUUUCGCUCGGGAAGUUUCGAUAUGAAAGCUGCCCUCGUAAUGGUUGACCAAUCACGAAAAAAGUUAAGCUACACUGACACGUGAGUAGCCAUGGCGCCGCCUGAAAACUAAGCAUCCACCACCGAAGACUUCAAAGCCAUUUGGAAAAAGCUAGCUACAAAAGGAGGGCUGAUGUUUGGGUGCUAUACGACUUGACGAAACAGAAUUCACUCAAUCGUGUUUCCAUCCCUAAGGCUUCACAGAAAUGCAACAAAAUCGAGGUUUUUCGUUUGAUGACGGGUUUAUAAGAAGUCGAUUAUAUAAGACAAUGAGCGAAAAAGGUCAUAGCCACAGCGGGAAAAGGUUCACAAAAACUGCUUGGACUGAUCCGAAAGAAGGUUAUGCUAUAUAUUUGACAGCUUUGGAAUACAAUCGUGUAUAUGAGCUGCUGUCGCUUGACAAAGUAAUUUAUUUGAAUUUCUGCUGCCAACAACAAACAUGAUUAUAAGAAGCUACUGAAAAAAUCGAUUUAUACAAGUGGACAAAAGCGCAUCGUAUUCCACCACUACAGUGCCAGAUAACACAAAUUUUUAGCUAACCAGCAAACAUUGCAAGAUUUGAGGAGAACUUUUAAUAAUAAUAAUUUAACUUAAAAUUUUGCAUCAUCAGACUAUCAGCAUCUGUUUCGGUUUCUGCAAAACCCUGUGGAUUGUUUUAAUUUUAUUUUAGUAAAAUGGCGCAAAAAUUACUUGUGACAGUUUUUCAUUCACAAACUAAAGACGUUUUAUAGUGAUUGGAUUAUGAUGAUAUUUGAAAAAUGGCAAAUGAUCAUCGAUCAGAAUAUCUCAUAUUAAGUUUUAAAAUAUUAUUAAAAAAUUGCUUUAAUUUUGGAUGAAAAACCGUCAAUACCUUUUCGACAACCUAAUACUUUGCCAUACAUUGGUUAGUGUUACUUAAUAAUGAUCUCUUAUCUAUGUUAUCUAAUAAAUAACUGACGUUUCUCGUUUCUCUGGUGUUUGCACUUUGCCUGAUUGCGCCCA